rnacentral:misc_RNA from 1 species
GAAAUGCGAUAAUUAAUGUGAAUUGCAGAAUUCAGUGAAUCAUCGAGUCUUUGAACGCACAUUGCGCCCCCAGGUAUUCCGGGGGGCAUGCCUGUCCGAGCGUCGUUGCUGCCCUCAAGCACGGCUUGUGUGUUGGGCUUCCGUCCCUGGCAACGGGGACGGGCCCAAAAGGCAGUGGCGGCACCAUGUCUGGUCCUCGAGCGUAUGGGGCUUUGUCACCCGCUCCCGUAGGUCCAGCUGGCAGCUAGCCUCGCAACCAAUCUUUUUAACCAGGUUGACCUCGGAUCAGGUAGGGAUACCCGCUGAACUUAAGC